rnacentral:lncRNA from 1 species
AUAGUUCAAAUUGGAGGGAGCUUGGGCAGAUACCACCUUUUCUUUUAAGGAAUGAAUUUGACUUUUGCUGAUGGAGCCUCUCUGAAGGGCAAAUUCAAAGUACAGCUGGGUGCUGCAGCACUGGAGUGCGAACUUGUGGCUGUGGUUAUGAAGGAGCCUCGUCAGCUAUGCCUUUAGCCCCUGGUGAAGCAGUGCCAGUCACACUUUGCCAGUCAAACGGAGAGGCAGCAGUAGUAAGACCAGACCAAAUCAAACCAAACCAAGCAAACCACGGGGAAUGGAGACACAGAGUUUCAUUCUGUCACCCAGGCUGGAGUGCAGAUGCAGUGGCAUGAUGAUAGUGCACUACAACUUGGAACUCCUGGGCUCAAGCCAUCUUCCCUCCACUGCCUCCAAGUAGCUGGGGACUACAGAUUAUUGCCUGCUCCUCCAAGCCCUUCACUGUAGAAUGGAAGCCUGUGAUUUUCCUGGCAUCAUGCAUGACUGAGAAGGUCAGUGUGGCUAAUUCUGAGCUUCAACAUCAGGAAACCCGUAGUUCUUCACACUGAGCCGCCUCCUGCAGCACAGUCAUCCUUGGUAAUAAAGCUGA